AUGAGACUGCUGGGUCUUCUUCUGUGUCUGGUGACAGCCCCCCAAGGUGUCCUGUCCCAGGUGCAGCUGCAGGAGUCGGGCCCAGGAUUGGUGAAGCCCUCACAGACACUCUCCCUCAUCUGCACUGUCUCUGGUUACUCCAUCACCAGUGGUUAUUGCUGGACCUGGAUCCGUCAGCCGCAGGGGAAAGGGCUGGAGUGGAUGGGGUGCAUAGGUUAUGAUGGAAACACUUACUACAGCCCCUCCCUCAAGAGCCGAACCUCCAUCUCCAGAGACACUUCCAAGAACCAGUUCUCCCUGCAGCUGAGUUCCGUGACCACCGAGGACAUGGCUGUGUAUUACUGUGCAACAGACACACAGUGA